UACGAAGGGGGCUAGCGUUGCUCGGAAUUACUGGGCGUAAAGCGCACGUAGGCGGCUUCUUAAGUCGGUGGUGAAAUCCUGGAGCUCAACUCCAGAACUGCCUUCGAUACUGGGAAGCUCGAGCCCGGGAGAGGUGAGUGGAACUGCGAGUGUAGAGGUGAAAUUCGUAGAUAUUCGCAAGAACACCAGUGGCGAAGGCGGCUCACUGGCUCGUAACUGACGCUCAUGCACGACAGCGUGGGGAUCAAACAGG
rnacentral:rRNA from 1 species